rnacentral:rRNA from 1 species
AGCGAACGCUGGCGGCAGGCCUAACACAUGCAAGUCGAACGAGCUCUUCGGAGCUAGUGGCGGACGGGUGAGUAACACGUGGGAACGUGCCCUUUGGUACGGAAUAACUCAGGGAAACUUGAGCUAAUACCGUAUGUGCCCUUCGGGGGAAAGAUUUAUCGCCAUUGGAGCGGCCCGCGUCUGAUUAGCUAGUUGGUGAGGUAAAGGCUCACCAAGGCUACGAUCAGUAGCUGGUCUGAGAGGAUGAUCAGCCACAUUGGGACUGAGACACGGCCCAAACUCCUACGGGAGGCAGCAGUGGGGAAUCUUGCGCAAUGGGCGAAAGCCUGACGCAGCCAUGCCGCGUGAAUGAUGAAGGUCUUAGGAUUGUAAAAUUCUUUCACCGGGGACGAUAAUGACGGUACCCGGAGAAGAAGCCCCGGCUAACUUCGUGCCAGCCGCCGCGGUAACAC